GUAAGCAUCUCGGCAACCUGCAUGCAUCUAUGCCAUUCCUAUCAUGGUGCAUGGAGCAAGCUUCACAUAACACUCAGACAGAGACAGUUUAAUUAUGGUUACAUAUCAGACUCAGUUUAUUGCUCAGUCUAUUAGGUGCAGUGCUGUUAAUAUUGUUAGUGGUAGUAUUAGUACAAUUAAUGUAUUUAUUUUAAUUAAUUUAUCAAUAUUUAUUAUAUUCUUAGUGUUUGAAAAUUCCAAUACUAGCAUUAAAAUAAACAAAAAUAUCAGAAAUAUAUUUAUACUCAUUAAUUAUUAUUGCUUUUCUUAUUAUUACUUCCUUCAAUGUCCUGGCACUUUGACAUCUAGUGUUUUUCUGUCUAGCAGCCAAAAUUGUGGUCUUUCUGAAUGUGUAUGUCCUAAGUCUUCAUUGGUGUAUCUAGCUAUAUAACAAAAAUCUGCAUCUCUCUCCCUUCUCACCCAGUUGUCCCCGUACAUCCUUUCAGUAUCCAAAGAAUUUCAAUUUACAUCUUGUAAUCACUCAACUAAUGCAGUGCAAUCCUCAUCUCUGUAUUUUACCGUGUGAACAUACUCUUUCCUUCCAUGUUCCACUGUCGUAUGUUAUUCCACAUCUAACACAACCACAUCCCAACAGAUCCGAACACGUCCGAUAUCAUCCAAGAGAAUGUGGCAGCUGAAGGGGGAGAGGCCAAGAAAGAGGCCAAGGGUGAAGACAUUUAGCCACCCCCCCUGAAGUACAUGGCAUCAUUCAACCCUCUUGGUGAGCUACAGGAAUGUGCUUCCCAUUGCAGUGCACCAGCUCCAUGUACUGAUUUUGGUGUGAACUUGAUGGGGUUGGAGGAAACUUGACUCGGCCAUCAAGCUCACCACAAUAUAACAUGAAAAGUGAAAAUUGCUGCACACAACAGUCUGUCGUCUGCACCGGGAGGCAAGGCAGCUCAAAGCCCAGGCUGUUACAAAUCCUGGGCAGUUUUUGCCCAGAGCCAGCAAUUUUUUAGAUCCAAUAGGGAUGGAUUUUUUAUGAGGUCAGGUUCAACAUGCUGCAAGAUGCCAAGAUCUAAGCCUAGUAGGAGAUAUGGGUUACAAGAGAGGAGGUUUGCUCUGGCCUUAUACUAUCAAAGUCCAAAUGCUAAUAGAUUUCUGAGCACAGUAUUUCACUUGUCUUCAGUUUCAACACUUCAAUCAUGACUCAGGGGUAUUUCAGUACAUGUUGGCUGGAGCAAACAGACUCUGACAGCCCUGCAGCAAAGCACAGGCUUUG